GCUCUCGUAGCUCAAUUGAUUAGAGCAUGUACUUAAUAAGCAGAGGUCUUGAGUUCGCUCUCAGCAAGAGCA
rnacentral:tRNA from 1 species